UGCUCAUUUCAGAAUUCCUGCGAAGAGAGC
rnacentral:piRNA from 1 species